rnacentral:tRNA from 1 species
GCGGGGAUGCCGGAGCGGUCAAACGGGCUGGGCUAAGGACCCAGUGGCUUAGUGCCUACGCAGGUUCGAGUCCUGUUCCCCGCA